UACGAAGGGGGCUAGCGUUGCUCGGAAUUACUGGGCGUAAAGGGCGCGUAGGCGGACAGUUUAGUCAGAGGUGAAAGCCCAGGGCUCAACCUUGGAAUUGCCUUUGAUACUGGCUGUCUUGAGUUCGGGAGAGGUGAGUGGAAUGCCGAGUGUAGAGGUGAAAUUCGUAGAUAUUCGGCGGAACACCAGUGGCGAAGGCGGCGACCUGGACAGAUAUUGACGCUGAGGUGCGAAAGCGUGGGGAGCAAACAGG
rnacentral:rRNA from 1 species